AUGGAGAUUUCAGAACUCUUGUUGCAAAACAGAACUAAAGAUCCCAAAGAUACUCUGGCUCUAGGACUUUUUUCUUCUCCUUUUUGUGGGGAAGGAAGAGGAUUUUAAAUGCACCAAAUCUCGAUGUCGUCGGGCUGUUUCAAAGUGCUCCCAGAAAGAGGGAACGAGGAGGAUUUUAAAUGCACCAAAUCUCGAUGUCGUCGGGCUGUUUCAAAGUGCUCCCAGAAAGAGGGAACGAGGAGGGUUCCAAAUGCACCACGAUCUCAAAGUCCUCGGCGUCAGAGAAUAUGCUGCUGGUGUGUCAAGGCAGGGCUGGUUGUCUGCACCGCUACUCACAACGUGCGCCAUGAGCUGGGUUCCUCGGGGUUCCUCGGGGCCGGCGUCUCCCUCAACUACGGAGUUAUGCGGAGGAGGAGGAGUCGGGUGCCUCGCUCCCUCGAUGUGCGCAAACACACACACAACAGACACACACACAUCCCCCACAGCUCUGGCGUUGUUCUCCCCGGCAGAGGGUUUCGUUUUCUGUUUGUUUAGGGAGUCUUGAAUAUUGUGGCGCCGUACUUGACGCGGUACUUGUUGAUGCUGACAAAGUGCAGGUCCUCGGCGUUGCAGGUGGUGGUGCAAGGGACCAGGCCCUCCAGGCCCUCGCCCAUCAGCCACUUGUUCGUCUCGGCCGCCAUCUCGCGGGUCACGUGCUCCUUGGUCCAUCGGUCGACCCAGGCCUGGAAGCGCUGGUGCAGACGCUUGCUCACCCGUUCGUGCGACUGGAAGGGAAGAAAAAGCAAGACGAAACUUUAGUUUUAGUUCUUGGGGAUGCUGGGCGAUCAAACUAGAAAGGAAGCAAGGAAGACUCCGACAAUACACGUCCACGAGAAUCACUCUAUGUGCAGAGACCGACAGGGACUAGUUAUCCCAGAAAUGGACCAAUUUCGGGCCCUCCUCCAGGUGUUUUGGACUUCCAACUCCCACAAUUCCUAACAUGCCUGAGUUAUCCCAACAUUACAGCACUUUAGUAAUGGUAAAGGUUUCCCGCAGAUAUUCAGUCCAGUCGUGUCCGACUCUGGGGGUUUCUGCUCAUCUCCAUUUCUAAGCCGAAGAGCCGGCGUUGUCCGUAGACACCUCCAACGUCAUGUGGCCAUUGGCAUGACUGCAUGGAGCGCCGUUACCUUCCUGCCAAUAGGAGCGGUACCUAUUGAUCUACUCACAUUGGCAUGUUUUCGAACUGCUAGGUUGGCAGCGGAAGCUUACUCCGCUCCCAGGAUUUGAACCGCUGACCUUUCAGUCCACAAGUUCAGCAGCUCAGCGCUUUAACACACUGCACCACCAGGAGCUCCAAGGUGGCUUUACUAUUAUUAUUACAGUAGAGUCUCACUUAUCCAAGCUAAACGGGCUGGCAGAACCUUGGAUAAGCAAAUAUCUUGGAUAAUAAGGAUGAAUUAAGGAAAAGCCUAUUAAACAUCAAUUUAGGUUAUAAUUUUACAAAUUAAGCACCAAAACAUCAUGUUAUACAACAAAUUUAACAGAAAAAGUAGUACAAUACGCACUAAUGUUAUGUUGUAGUUACUGUAUUUAUGAAUUUAGCACCAAAAUGUCACGAUAUAUUGAAAACAUUGACUACAAAAAUGCCUUGGAUAAUCUAGAACCUUUGAUAAGUGAGUCUUGGAUAAGUGAGACUCUACUGUAUUAUUAUUAUCAUUAUUAUGCCUCACCAAACUACAAAUCUCAGGAUUACAUAGCAUCGAGCCCUAAUAAUUAAAUUACAGAUGGCAUCCCUCAAAGAGGAGCUCCAAGUGCAGAUCCUGAAGCAGCUUCCCCUAUUUCUUCAACUCAGCACUAAGAUAAUAAUAAUAAUAAUAAUAAUAAUAAUAAUAAUAAUAAUAAUUCUUUAUUUGUACCCUGUCACCAUCUCCCCAGCGGGACUCAGGGCGGCUCAGAGAAGCACUAUAGUGCCGUAUAUAUAUACAAUUAUUUAUUUUUUAUUUACAGUAUUUAUAUUCCUCCCUUCUCACCCCAAAGGGGACUCAGGGCAGAUCACAAUGUACAUGUAUAUGGCAAACAUUCAAUGCCAUUAGACAAACAACAGACAGACAGACAGACACAGAGGCUAUUUAACUUCCCAGCUUCUGGCUUUGAGAGUGUAUUCUCGAUUCCGGCCACAGGAGGAGCUGCUGCUUCAUCAUCCACUGUGACGCUGAGUCCUUUUUUGAUGGAGUACUUCCUCAUCCGGUGUUGUAAAUAAGUUAAAUUAGCCUCCCCGCAUAAGCAGUCCCUAAAUUUUCCUACUUGACAGAUGCAACUGUUUUUCGGGUUGCUUAGGUCAACAACGAGCAGGGCUAUUUUUUAUUUUAAUGGUCGGGUGCUCUCUCUGACAUGGGCUGGCCUCGAACUCAUAGUGAUUUAUUGCAGCUGGCUACUAACCAGCCUGCGCCACAGCCCGGCCCAUACGAAGUACAAAAGUAUAAAUAUAUGAUGUAAAUAUAAAAGCAACAAUUCCUGUAAAAUGCCAGUAAAAAUAGCAAGAAUUAUACUUUGAUAGUGGCCUACCUGGU
ensembl:lncRNA